CAUGAAGCUGGAAUCGCUAGUAAUCGCGGAUCAGAAUGCCGCGGUGAAUACGUUCCCGGGUCUUGUACACACCGCCCGUCACACCAUGGGAGUCGGGAAUGCCCGAAGUCAGCGGCCCAACCGAAAGGAGGGAGCUGCCGAAAGCAGGCCUGGUGACUGGGGUGAAGUCGUAACAAGGUAGC
rnacentral:rRNA from 1 species